rnacentral:misc_RNA from 1 species
GAUGAAGAACGUAGCGAAAUGCGAUACUUGGUGUGAAUUGCAGAAUCCCGUGAACCAUCGAGUCUUUGAACGCAAGUUGCGCCCGAAGCCAUUAGGCCGAGGGCACGCCUGCCUGGGCGUCACACGUCGUUGCCCCCCCAUCUACUCCUUCGGGAUUGCGGGGGGCGGAUGAUGGCCUCCCGUGCGCCUCGCCGCGCGGUUGGCAUAAAUGCCAAGUCCCCGGCGACGCACGCCACGACAAUCGGUGGUUGCGAAACCUCGGUUGCCCGUCGUGUGCGGUCGUCGCGCAUCGAGGGCUCGAAAAAAUUGCCGGGUUCCGGCUCGGCUUUCAACGCGACCCCAGGUCAGGCGGGGUUACCCGCUGAAUUUAAGCAUAUCAAUAAGCGGAGGA